rnacentral:rRNA from 1 species
GACGAACGCUGGCGGCGUGCCUAAUACAUGCAAGUAGAACGCUGAAGAGAGGAGCUUGCUCUUCUUGGAUGAGUUGCGAACGGGUGAGUAACGCGUAGGUAACCUGCCUUGUAGCGGGGGAUAACUAUUGGAAACGAUAGCUAAUACCGCAUAACAAUGGAUGACACAUGUCAUUUAUUUGAAAGGGGCAAUUGCUCCACUACAAGAUGGACCUGCGUUGUAUUAGCUAGUAGGUGAGGUAAUGGCUCACCUAGGCGACGAUACAUAGCCGACCUGAGAGGGUGAUCGGCCACACUGGGACUGAGACACGGCCCAGACUCCUACGGGAGGCAGCAGUAGGGAAUCUUCGGCAAUGGGGGCAACCCUGACCGAGCAACGCCGCGUGAGUGAAGAAGGUUUUCGGAUCGUAAAACUCUGUUGUAAGUCAAGAACGGGUGUGAGAGUGGAAAGUUCACACUGUGACGGUAGCUUACCAGAAAGGGACGGCUAACCACGUG